rnacentral:rRNA from 1 species
AUUCCAGCUCCAAUAGCGUAUAUUAAAGUUGUUGUGGUUAAAAAGCUCGUAGUUGGAUCUCGGCGGUCUGAGGGCGGUUCGCUUCAGAGCGCUACUGCCCUAUAGACCGUAGUUUUGCCAGAGGUCUCAGGGUGCUCUUAACCGAGUGUCUUGCGAUGCUGGCAGGUUUACUUUGAAAAAAUUAGAGUGCUCAAAGCAGGCUUUUACGCCUGAAUAUUUGUGCAUGGAAUAAUAGAAUAGGAAGUCGUUUCUAUUUUGUUGGUUUUCGGAAAUCGACUUAAUGAUUAAUAGGGACAGUCGGGGGCAUUUGUAUUCAAACGACAGAGGUGAAAUUCUUGGACCGUUUGAAGACAAACUACUGCGAAAGCAUUUGCCAAGAAUGUUUUCAUCA